rnacentral:rRNA from 1 species
CCUACGGGAGGCAGCAGUGAGGAAUAUUGGACAAUGGAGGAAACUCUGAUCCAGCCAUGCCGCGUGCAGGAUGACUGCCCUAUGGGUUGUAAACUGCUUUUAUAUAGGAAGAAACACUCCCACGUGUGGGGGCUUGACGGUACUAUAUGAAUAAGGAUCGGCUAACUCCGUGCCAGCAGCCGCGGUAAUACGGAGGAUCCAAGCGUUAUCCGGAAUCAUUGGGUUUAAAGGGUCCGCAGGCGGCCUGUUAAGUCAGAGGUGAAAUCCUACAGCUCAACUGUAGAACUGCCUUUGAUACUGAUAGGCUUGAGUUAUUGUGAAGUGGUUAGAAUGUGUGGUGUAGCGGUGAAAUGCUUAGAUAUCACACAGAAUACCCAUUGCGAAGGCAGAUCACUAACAAUAUACUGACGCUCAUGGACGAAAGCGUGGGGAGCGAACGGGAUUAGAUACCCCGGUAGUCCACGCCGUAAACGAUGGAUACUAACUGUUCGACCUUCGGGUUGAGUGGUCAAGCGAAAGUGAUAAGUAUCCCACCUGGGGAGUACGCUCGCAAGAGUGAAACUCAAAGGAAUUGACGG